rnacentral:snoRNA from 1 species
UGUAGAAGUGAUGACUUCCUGUUACCGCCCCAGUCUGAUGUUCAGGUGACUGAUUGGUUACUGAACUGAU